UACGGAAGGCAGCAGUGGGGAAUAUUGCACAAUGGGCGCAAGCCUGAUGCAGCCAUGCCGCGUGUAUGAAGAAGGCCUUCGGGUUGUAAAGUACUUUCAGCGGGGAGGAAGGGAGUAAAGUUAAUACCUUUGCUCAUUGACGUUACCCGCAGAAGAAGCACCGGCUAACUCCGUGCCAGCAGCCGCGGUAAUACGGAGGGUGCAAGCGUUAAUCGGAAUUACUGGGCGUAAAGCGCACGCAGGCGGUUUUGUUAAGUCAGAUGUGAAAUCCCCGGGCUUAACCUGGGAAUGGCAUUCAAGACUGGUUAGCUAGAGUCUUGUAGAGGGGGUAGAAUUCCAUGUGUAGCGGUGAAAUGCGUAGAGAUGUGGAGGAAUACCGGUGGCGAAGGCGGCCCCUGGGACAAAGACUGACGCUCAUGUGCGAAAGCGUGGGGAGCAAACAGGGAUUAGGAUACC
rnacentral:rRNA from 1 species